rnacentral:rRNA from 1 species
CCUACGGGUGGCAGCAGUGGGGAAUAUUGCGCAAUGGGCGAAAGCCUGACGCAGUGACGCCGCGUGAGGGAUGAAGGUCUUCGGAUCGUAAACCUCUGUCAGCAGGGAAGAACGGUCACUGUGCUAAUCAGCAGUGAAUUGACGGUACCUGCAAAGGAAGCACCGGCUAACUCCGUGCCAGCAGCCGCGGUAAUACGGAGGGUGCGAGCGUUAAUCGGAAUUACUGGGCGUAAAGCGCUCGUAGGCGGUAUGUCAAGUCAAGGGUGAAAUCCCCGCGCUCAACGUGGGAACUGCCUUUGAAACGGGCAAACUGGAGUGUGUGAGAGGAUAGUGGAAUUCCAGGUGUAGGAGUGAAAUCCGUAGAUAUCUGGAGGAACAUCAGUGGCGAAGGCGACUAUCUGGAACAUAACUGACGCUGAAGAGCGAAAGCGUGGGUAGCAAACAGGAUUAGAUACCCGGGUAGUC